CGUCCUCACAGCGGCCAGUCGCUUAAAUUUAUAUUAUGCAAAUAGUCGUUUUGAAGAUGUGAUCCAAGUUGAUACACCACGAUGAUGUCGGUAUUAAAUUAAUCAUGUUAAUGUCUUUAAGGAAACUUUCAGAGAAUGCAAGGAGUCACGCGUUGGGAAUUUUGUGUUGUGAAAUAGCGAAUGGUUUGUUGCGUUCAUUUGUCUUGUGCGUCUUCGGGGAAAAAAAAAUCAAUCAGUCUGGUUUAUAAAGUAGAAAAUUGCUGCUUGCUGUUGUCUGUUUACGUGGUAGUUUACUACAAGAGGACAAAUGAAGGCGUGCUGUUUGCCCAACAUAUGCUGUUCUGGAUGCUCAUGACAACGUUGCAUGGUUUUGUUUGUCCUCGCAGAGGAGGACAAAUGCACGAGAUUUCAAUUAACACCGGCCCGUGCUCUUUGUAUUGUAUGUUAAUAAUUAUGUGGCACCUGAAUAAACAAGGCUGACUAAACAGACCUGUCCAUGAGGGCACGGGAACUGUUUGCUCGGCUGCGGUUCUUGCUGGCACCCACUGGGCAUUGUCAGCGGGCUCCUGCCGCUCGCAGGCGCUCCACAAACACGGCCGGAUUUGGUAAAUUUGCAUCAAACUGGGUGGACCAAUAUGGAAAAUGUAUUAAGGAAUCCCGUGGCCGGUGGUGAUCGCGUCCUCACAAAGAGCACCUGUCCGACGCCCGCUGUUAUUUCUGCAGGGCUGAAUAAGGAUUACCCCCAUCUGACAACAGGGAUUCACGUAAAUGCAAUUUUCAAUCAGCACAGGACGCUAAAAUGCUCCCUUUGAAAGGUUCACGCUUCAGCCCCAUACUUUCCAUAAUAAAACGGCAGUUGGUUCUUGUGCGCGAUUUCAACGCCGCUACCUCGCUGGUUUCUUAGCAAUGGAUGUCCCAAAGAAAAAUACACCUUGCUGGUCUAGGCCGCUCUGAAGAUUUGUGGUGGACCUGCCCUAUGGCCAUUAUAAUUCAGCCCAAACUUUGCAGCUAGAUUCGGUCGGCUGGCCCGGUUCAGAUACGAGCUGGAUGGAGUGUAACGCUGCUGUCGCGGCCUUUCAGGUGUCCAGAUCGGCGUGCGCAUUGGUGAUCGGCGGAAGAGCUUUGGAAGAAUGUGAUAAUGACUGCAGGCAGCCAGUUUCCAGAACAAUCUGGUGUGACUGGACCAACCGGAAGCCGCCGUUGGAUUGAUGUUUUUCAGAAUUCUGUGUUCCGGGCAAAAUGUCUGCAUUUCUGAAUGUGCUUUCAUCUGAGUUCACCGCUGAAUUUUUUUCCUCAUUCCAUUCUUAUUUCCUAUUGCAAUUAAGCUGAAUUACUGUCACUUAAGGGAAGAACGUCGUUGUCUUUCAAAGUAAACACACGUAAUUGAAAAACUGUGGGUCUCUGAUAGAGACAUUUGGUCCUUCACACUAGGUGUGCAGUGAAAGGAAUGCUUUACUCUUUUUCUUUAGUACUUGAAUGAGUAAGUGCUGUAAUAUACCCAGGCCUGGAUAGAUGAGCUCAAAGUAUUAUUUCUAAAACUGGCUCUAAACAUGGCAGGGAUCACAGACUGCGCUUUCCACUCCGGCUCCCACCACUGGGGGGGGGGGGGGGAGAAGAUGGCCAGCAUGUCACCCACCCAGGGCAAGAAUAUACCAAUUUGAACAGACUGUAGGUUUCUACAGCAGGUGUAAAAAAUGGCAUCGUCAAAAAGAGCUUUUUAAAAAGAUUUCUGUAUUUAGUAAUUAUGGUUUAUUAUGGUCAAUACGACAACAUUUUGUAUUGCGUUCACUACACGAAGUGUGAAUUUGAGUUGUAACAACUCGGCUCCAUCCAUCUUCUAUAACUUCCAUUCAGGGUUUGCAGGGAGUCAGGAGCAGAAGGUGGGGAACAACCCAAGAUGGGGGCACCAACCCCUCACACCUACGUGCAAUUUAGUAACUCCAGAGUCCCACAGUAAACCCCACAACCACUUGGGGAGAA